CCUACGGGAGGCUGCAGUAGGGAAUCUUCCACAAUGGGCGAAAGCCUGAUGCAGCAAAGCCGCGUGGGUGAAGAAGGUCUUCUGAUCGGAAAACCCUGUUUUUAGAGAAAAAAGUGUGUGAGUGUAAAUGUUUUCGUUUCUACGAUAUCAAACCAGAAAGCCUCGGUUAACUCCGUGCCAGCCGCUGCGGUACUACGGAGGUGGCAAGCGUUAUCCUGUUUUAUUGGGCUUAAGGGGAACGCAGGCGGACUUUUAAGUCUGAUGGGAAAGACUUCGGCUUAACCGGAGUAGUGCAGUGGAAACUGGGAGACUUGAGUGCAGAAGAGGUGAGUGGAACUCCAUGUGUAGCGGUGAAAUGCGUAGAUAUAGGGAAGAACUCCAGUGGCGAAGGCGGCUCUCUGGUCUGUAACUGACGCUGAUGGUCGAAAGCGUGGGUAGCAAACAGGAUUAGAUACCCUGGUAGUC
rnacentral:rRNA from 1 species